UACGUAGGGUCCGAGCGUUGUCCGGAAUUACUGGGCGUAAAGAGCUCGUAGGUGGUUUGUCGCGUUGUUCGUGAAAACUCACAGCUCAACUGUGGGCGUGCGGGCGAUACGGGCAGACUAGAGUACUGCAGGGGGAGACUGGAAUUCCUGGUGUAGCGGUGGAAUGCGCAGAUAUCAGGAGGAACACCAAUAGCGAAGGCAGCUCGCUGGGACGUUACUGACACUGAGGCGCGAAAGCGUGGGGGAGCGAACAGG
rnacentral:rRNA from 1 species